ACUAUAGUAUAUGCUUGACAUACCCCCACCACGUCCUCCGCACCUCUAUACCUAUCUACACUCAACGGUUUCACUAGCGGAGUCAGCGCCGCAAGUGUCGUUUCGGGCAACCUUAAUUUUAACAGCUUUUCGGUGUCAUACCUUAUGUACAGAGAUGGGACUCCUCUACUCUAGUUUUCAUGGAAGGAAGGUUGCUGUUGUUUGUUAUUGCUGAUCUUGUCAUCAAAGUUUUAACCUAAAAUAUCCAUCAUGGAUUUACUUUAUACCGUUAAUAGAAGAACUCUUUCAAAAGCUCUAGCUAAUCAAGAAAGUCUCUACGAUGUACGGUCCUUAUGUACAUUGUCCAGUCGAAAUAUUGCGGCUUUUACCAGUACUACCGAACUGGAUGACAGCAGUGGAAAGACUUGGGGCUCUCAUGUAUACGUUUGUGAUCUGAAUAUGCCAUGGCAUACACAUAAGUAUGUAUAAUGUAUUAUCCAUUGUACCACUCUACGAAGGAAACAGUAGUAGUCAGCCUUACCAGAUGUAUCUGACAGAUGUUUGAUACAAGGGUAUUAUCCAAUAAGUACAACAUCACUGCCUUAGAAUGGGAUCUACCUGGUGACAAAUUGGUUAUUGCGGAUUCAGCUGGAAGUGUACAAUUGUGGAUAUUUAAAGAUCAUGUUCUUAAUGAUUGGGUGCAAAUUGGUUCUACCUGUUUUUCUGGAGAACAUAUUAUAGGAGCUGCUUGGUUUCACAAUGGCAAAAAGACAGGGCUGGUAACAGAAAAGAAAGAUAGCAUACACUAUAAUGAGAAAUUCAAUCAUCUUCUAUUUGCACCAUCUGUAAGGCAAUUUGGUGGACGAGCAGCAGAAGGAGUUUUGGUGGUAUCAACUACAGGAAUGGUUGGGGCUGUCAUGAUAACAAGGGAUUUCCAAAAUCCUGUUUGCUUUGCUACAGAAAGUUUAGGAAGUACUAGACAUCGAAUUACUGCAGUUGAUUUGUGCUAUGGAAAAAAUGGACAUUUUCUUGUGGCUGUCAGUAGUGGAAGUAUUUGUCUUCCCAUAAGAUGUUAUCGAGUUUUAGUCCGAAAGAAUGAUGAGAAAUGUAGUAUAACUUCACAAGCAUUGCCUAGCUUUUUUCUACAAGAUGGAGCACCAAAAGAUGGCAGCUGCACUAACGUGAUGCAUUUGAAGUUCGUAGUUCGUGAAGACGCGGAUUCUCUCGUUGUGGCAGCAAACAGUGAAAGUGGUGGAUUUGUCGAAGUUUGGGAACUACGAGAAAAAUCUCAACCAGUGCACAAACUCUUUCAACCAAAGACUUUAGAACCAUUUAAGACUGUCGUAUGGCAACAUCAAUCUCAGUAUCGCUGUCAAUGUCCAAUUACUGCCAUAGCUACAACGAAGUUGUCAAUCGUAACGACAGUACCACCACCCAGUUACGUAGUGGUAGCAUUGGCAGAUUCUUCUAUUCAUUAUUUAAAUCGCGAUUGUUUAAAAGAAGUAGCAUAUUCUUCAUUAAACAUGCCAUGGCGACAGGAUGAGCCAAACAAUAAAUAUUUAAAAAAUUCCGUUACCAUUUCACACAUUGAUAUAUCAUGGCUCGGUUGUAUACUGUUGGCCUGUGAUACACAUAGUACGCUAUAUACCUACAAAUUAUUACCAGAAGGAGCCAUAUUUGCUCUAGGCUCAUCGAUGACCUUGAGCUAUGCGUGCACAUUACUAGAAUAUUGUCUGGUUACUGGACUCGAUUGGUUGGAUUUACUGCUGUGUUUGAGAUCUUCCAUGAUUGAAACGCUUUGUGAAAGAUUAGAUGCAUCUUAUAAUAGACAAACACUACCAGUUCAACAAUUUCUUUAUAUACAGUUUCUUUGCAUCAAGACUUCUCUCUAUAGAAUGUUGGUAACGGGACAAAAUAAGGCUGCAGAUCUUUCAUCACUUCUUAUGGUACAUUCUGUAGCGACAGCAUUUAAGUCACUACUUAGGCCUUCUGAUUUAAUUUCUCACGACAAAGGACCUGCAGAGAGCUUAACCGCUGUUAUUACGGAUGCCAUUACGGUGUCGGACAUUGAUAAGGUAUUAUUGCACCUUGAUGGAAAAGAGUUCACUGUGGAGCCCAGUACUCUUCAAUCCUUGCAGCAACUGAUUCAGUGGGUAGCAGACUUGGCAUUGAAUUUAUUAGCGCGGUUACCUGAACAACGAUUGCAAAUGAAGUCCGGUGGUUACGAAUUGCUGAAAGAUCACAAAGCCCUGAACACAGUUCGCGAGUUGCUGGUAAUUAUUCGUAUCUGGGGACUACUUCGUUCUUCUUGUUUACCAGUGUUCGUAAGAAGUGCCGACAAUCUCGAUGUAUUGGCUCUGCUAUUCCGAUUGUUAUCAAAGCAUGUUCAAGCCAAUGGAGAAAUACAGCAGCAAGUAGAUGAUGGUCUAGUCGAUACACCUUUAACUCCAAUGGAUUCUGAAGAAAUUUACAAACUUGCUGAUUCUCCAAGAGGUCAUAAGUCUCCAAUGACUCCUAGAGAAAUAUUCUUCAUGGAUCUCAUGCGUGAAGCUGAAAAAACUGAGCAAUUCAAAAGAGAAUCGCAAAAUGACGAAAAACAAGUACACAAAUUUGAAUUAAACUUAAGAGAAAUGGCACCAAUGAGUUCAUCAGAAACCAAAGAUUCCGGAAUUAAAUUGGAAGUGCAUUCUGCGCAAGUAAGGAACGACGAUACUAAAUUAAAUAAAACGAAAUUGGAAUCACAUUACUUUAUUGCGGACGUAGAAAGCCCUGUAAAUACGAAGACGGAAGUUAGCCUUAAUAUUAAGACACCAGAAUCGGAAAAUACGGAUUGUGGGAUAAAUAUGUGCGAGUGGGCGUUUGCAAAAUGUGAAAAGAAACCCGCUAUUAUUCUUGGUAGCGUCUCCAGAGAAGCAACAAAUUUUAUAUAAAGGACCCAAGUUCUGUUUAAAAAUCAUAAAUAUUUAAUUAAAUUUAAAUUAUAAUCAAAUAUUACUUAGGGAAUAAUCUAUACUUUUAAUGAGUUACAAAAUACAGCUUUUCAUGAAUGUUGUCUUCUACCAAAUCAAAUAAUGAUACCACAACUGCAUCAAGCUAACAGUAUAAUUUGCAUCAGUUCACCGGUUCUCUUUUACCAAAGUUUUCCAUUGCAGUUAGAAUAUGGAAUGGAACCUGAGCAAUUGAUGUAUGUACCCGAAUUAAAUCCAGUAGAAGGUUGCAUGCAUUCAGGACAAAUAAUUGACACAAUUCGGCACUUAUAUUUGGGCAAGCAACCACUCCUAGUAAAACAGUGUACAAG